rnacentral:rRNA from 1 species
GAUAAACGCUGGCGGCGUGCCUAAUGCAUGCAAGUCGCACGGAGUCAUCCUUCGGGGUGAUUGAGUGGCGAACGGGUGAGGAACGCGUGGACAACCUACCCCGGCGUGGGGGAUACCCGCCAGAAAUGGCGGCUAAUACCGCGUACGGUUCUCUGGCGAGGGGCUGGGGAAAGAAAGCAGUGAUGCGCGCUGGGAGGGGUCUGCGACCGAUUAGCUUGUUGGCGGGGUAACGGCCCACCAAGGCGAUGAUCGGUAGCUGGUCUGAGAGGAUGAUCAG